UACAGAGGGCUCAAGCGUUGUUCGGAUUCAUUGGGCGUAAAGGGCGCGUAGGCGGCGGCGUAAGUCGGGUGUGAAAUUUCGAGGCUUAACCUCGAAACUGCAUUCGAUACUGCGGUGCUUGAGGACUGGAGAGGAGACUGGAAUUCAUGGUGUAGCAGUGAAAUGCGUAGAGAUCAUGAGGAAGACCGGUGGCGAAGGCGGGUCUCUGGACAGUUCCUGACACUGAGACACGAAGGCCAGGGGAGCAAACGGG
rnacentral:rRNA from 1 species